rnacentral:rRNA from 1 species
UGUUAGCGGCGGACGGGUGAGUAACACGUGGGUAACCUACCUAUAAGACUGGGAUAACUCCGGGAAACCGGGGCUAAUACCGGAUAAUAUUUUGAACCGCAUGGUUCAAUAGUGAAAGACGGUUUCGGCUGUCACUUAUAGAUGGACCCGCGCCGUAUUAGCUAGUUGGUAAGGUAACGGCUUACCAAGGCGACGAUGCGUAGCCGACCUGAGAGGGUGAUCGGCCACACUGGAACUGAGACACGGUCCAGACUCCUACGGGAGGCAGCAGAG